UUAAGCGACUAAGCGUACACGGUGGAUGCCCUGGCAGUCAGAGGCGAUGAAGGACGUGCUAAUCUGCGAUAAGCGUCGGUAAGGUGAUAUGAACCGUUAUAACCGGCGAUUUCCGAAUGGGGAAACCCAGUGUGAUUCGUCACACUAUCAUUAACUGAAUCCAUAGGUUAAUGAGGCGAACCGGGGGAACUGAAACAUCUAAGUACCCCGAGGAAAAGAAAUCAACCGAGAUUCCCCCAGUAGCGGCGAGCGAACGGGGAGCAGCCCAGAGCCUGAAUCAGUGUGUGUGUUAGUGGAAGCGUCUGGAAAGGCGCGCGAUACAGGGUGACAGCCCCGUACACAAAAAUGCACAUGCUGUGAGCUCGAUGAGUAGGGCGGGACACGUGGUAUCCUGUCUGAAUAUGGGGGGACCAUCCUCCAAGGCUAAAUACUCCUGACUGACCGAUAGUGAACCAGUACCGUGAGGGAAAGGCGAAAAGAACCCCGGCGAGGGGAGUGAAAAAGAACCUGAAACCGUGUACGUACAAGCAGUGGGAGCACGCUUAGGCGUGUGACUGCGUACCUUUUGUAUAAUGGGUCAGCGACUUAUAUUCUGUAGCAAGGUUAACCGAAUAGGGGAGCCGAAGGGAAACCGAGUCUUAACUGGGCGUUAAGUUGCAGGGUAUAGACCCGAAACCCGGUGAUCUAGCCAUGGGCAGGUUGAAGGUUGGGUAACACUAACUGGAGGACCGAACCGACUAAUGUUGAAAAAUUAGCGGAUGACUUGUGGCUGGGGGUGAAAGGCCAAUCAAACCGGGAGAUAGCUGGUUCUCCCCGAAAGCUAUUUAGGUAGCGCCUCGUGAAUUCAUCUCCGGGGGUAGAGCACUGUUUCGGCAAGGGGGUCAUCCCGACUUACCAACCCGAUGCAAACUGCGAAUACCGGAGAAUGUUAUCACGGGAGACACACGGCGGGUGCUAACGUCCGUCGUGAAGAGGGAAACAACCCAGACCGCCAGCUAAGGUCCCAAAGUCAUGGUUAAGUGGGAAACGAUGUGGGAAGGCCCAGACAGCCAGGAUGUUGGCUUAGAAGCAGCCAUCAUUUAAAGAAAGCGUAAUAGCUCACUGGUCGAGUCGGCCUGCGCGGAAGAUGUAACGGGGCUAAACCAUGCACCGAAGCUGCGGCAGCGACGCUUAUGCGUUGUUGGGUAGGGGAGCGUUCUGUAAGCCUGCGAAGGUGUGCUGUGAGGCAUGCUGGAGGUAUCAGAAGUGCGAAUGCUGACAUAAGUAACGAUAAAGCGGGUGAAAAGCCCGCUCGCCGGAAGACCAAGGGUUCCUGUCCAACGUUAAUCGGGGCAGGGUGAGUCGACCCCUAAGGCGAGGCCGAAAGGCGUAGUCGAUGGGAAACAGGUUAAUAUUCCUGUACUUGGUGUUACUGCGAAGGGGGGACGGAGAAGGCUAUGUUGGCCGGGCGACGGUUGUCCCGGUUUAAGCGUGUAGGCUGGUUUUCCAGGCAAAUCCGGAAAAUCAAGGCUGAGGCGUGAUGACGAGGCACUACGGUGCUGAAGCAACAAAUGCCCUGCUUCCAGGAAAAGCCUCUAAGCAUCAGGUAACAUCAAAUCGUACCCCAAACCGACACAGGUGGUCAGGUAGAGAAUACCAAGGCGCUUGAGAGAACUCGGGUGAAGGAACUAGGCAAAAUGGUGCCGUAACUUCGGGAGAAGGCACGCUGAUAUGUAGGUGAAGUCCCUCGCGGAUGGAGCUGAAAUCAGUCGAAGAUACCAGCUGGCUGCAACUGUUUAUUAAAAACACAGCACUGUGCAAACACGAAAGUGGACGUAUACGGUGUGACGCCUGCCCGGUGCCGGAAGGUUAAUUGAUGGGGUCAGCGCAAGCGAAGCUCUUGAUCGAAGCCCCGGUAAACGGCGGCCGUAACUAUAACGGUCCUAAGGUAGCGAAAUUCCUUGUCGGGUAAGUUCCGACCUGCACGAAUGGCGUAAUGAUGGCCAGGCUGUCUCCACCCGAGACUCAGUGAAAUUGAACUCGCUGUGAAGAUGCAGUGUACCCGCGGCAAGACGGAAAGACCCCGUGAACCUUUACUAUAGCUUGACACUGAACAUUGAGCCUUGAUGUGUAG
rnacentral:rRNA from 1 species